GGUUGCGAUCAUACCAGCACUAAUAUACCAGAUCCCUUCAGAACUUCAUAGUAAAUCAUGUUGGGGUGAGAGUAGUACUAGGAUGGGUAACUCCUUGGGAAGUCCUCGUGUUGCACCCC
rnacentral:rRNA from 1 species